rnacentral:rRNA from 1 species
GGCGAACGCUGGCGGCGUGCUUAACACAUGCAAGUCGAACGGAAAGGCCCUGCUUUUGUGGGGUGCUCGAGUGGCGAACGGGUGAGUAACACGUGAGUAACCUGCCCUUGACUUUGGGAUAACUUCAGGAAACUGGGGCUAAUACCGGAUAGGAGCUCCUGCUGCAUGGUGGGGGUUGGAAAGUUUCGGCGGUUGGGGAUGGACUCGCGGCUUAUCAGCUUGUUGGUGGGGUAGUGGCUUACCAAGGCUUUGACGGGUAGCCGGCCUGAGAGGGUGACCGGCCACAUUGGGACUGAGAUACGGCCCAGACUCCUACGGGAGGCAGCAGUGGGGAAUAUUGCACAAUGGGCGGAAGCCUGAUGCAGCAACGCCGCGUGCGGGAUGACGGCCUUCGGGUUGUAAACCGCUUCCGCCUGUGACGAAGCGUGAGUGACGGUAAUGGGUAAAGAAGCACCGGCUAACUACGUG